rnacentral:lncRNA from 1 species
AUGAUUUGAUAUUAAUAUACAUGACAAAGCAUUAGUAACUCAGAUUGGAUUAGUUGCUCAAGCAACUUAAAAAACUACAACAUAAUUCUUAUUUCGUUUUCAGCCUACGUACCCCAACUAGCUUGGGAUAAAAAAAAAGGCUUUGUCGAGUUGAGUUGUAAUGUUGCUUAGUUCGAGAUUCUCUAUCCCGUCUCGGCAAGGAUUUCUACCAAGUUCUGCGGACUUCACAAUUGAAGAGAACCAAACUAGUAGAUUAAUUGGUCAACUCAUCACAUAUCGUGAACAUGGAUCAAAAGUAGGCAUUCAGUUAAUUACCAGAUACUGAAAAGGUUCUUUGGAACUUCUCUUUGAGAAAGAACUUGGAAUAUUCUGU